UUGGUCCCCUCCGGUUCACGUGUCUCUGGGCAAUUUUAUCCCCUUUCUUCCUAAUAAGCCUGCGUGGAACGCAGAGCCUGCGCAAUAGCACCAGUGAAGUUCCCGAUGCCCUGAACUCUGAUUCUCUUAGUGCCGGGCGUGGUGAGGUUGUGUCCGCGUUUGGACAGCAGAAGCCCACUCUGGUGCCGUCUCCUCGCGGGUUCUGGAAGGGAGCCAGUUCCUCUUGGUUUUGGAUGAAACGGUUAAAUGCCUGCGGAGAUCACCGGAGCGAACAAGAUAAGGCAACAACAAAAAAGCGCUCAAAACUGAUGCUAUAGCUUAACUCCCGCACCAUAAUGAGAUGAGAAAAUUGAGCCACAGAAGGGUUAAGUGACAUCGCAAGGCUGCAAAGCCAGUUAGUGAAAAAUUAAGAUUGAAUUCAGGUCUCAGUCCUCAACAUCUUUACAGGCUGAGCUAUGUCAAAGAACAGAAUGUUUCUUUCCUAUUCUCCCUGUAACCAGAGCACUCUGUACAGGCCUUUGUUUUAUCACUUAUGAUAUUAAUAUUGUAAUUAUUUGCUUUUACUUCUCUUCCCCAACUCAAGGCUGGAAGAUGUGUCAUUUAUCUUUGUUCCUCUAGCAUUAUGCUAUACCAGAUACAUAGUAGGCAUUCAAUGAAUGUUUA